rnacentral:rRNA from 1 species
UACGUAGGGUGCAAGCGUUGUCCGGAAUCAUUGGGCGUAAAGAGCUCGUAGGCGGCUUGUCGCGUCGGCUGUGAAAACCUGGGGCUCAACCCCGGGCCUGCAGCCGAUACGGGCAAGCUAGAAUUCGGUAGGGGAGACUGGAAUUCCUGGUGUAGCGGUGAAAUGCGCAGAUAUCAGGAGGAACACCGGUGGCGAAGGCGGGUCUCUGGGCCGAUAUUGACGCUGAGGAGCGAAAGCGUGGGGAGCGAACAGG